AGAGGGGGCAAGCGUUGUUCGGAAUUACUGGGCGUAAAGGGCGCGUAGGCGGCCUGUUAAGUCGAACGUGAAAUCCCCGGGCUCAACCCGGGAACUGCGUCCGAUACUGGCAGGCUUGAAUCCGGGAGAGGGAUGUGGAAUUCCAGGUGUAGCGGUGAAAUGCGUAGAUAUCUGGAGGAACACCGGUGGCGAAGGCGGCAUCCUGGACCGGUACUGACGCUGAGGCGCGAAAGCCAGGGGAGCAAACGGGAUUAGAUACCCCGGUAGUCCUGGCCCUAAACGAUGAAUGCUUGGUGUGGCGGGUAUCGAUCCCUGCCGUGCCGAAGCUAACGCAUUAAGCAUUCCGCCUGGGGAGUACGGUCGCAAGGCUG
rnacentral:rRNA from 1 species